rnacentral:rRNA from 1 species
CGUGUAGGCGGUCGGAUAAGUGAGAUGUGAAAUGCCCCGGCUCACCCGGGGACCUGCAUCUCAAACUGUCCGGCUAGAGUAUGGGAGAGGAUGAGGGAAUUCCUGGUGUAGCGGUGAAAUGCGUAGAUAUCAGGAGGAACACCGGUGGCGAAAGCGCUCAUCUGGCCCAAUACUGACGCUGAGGCGCGAAAGCUAGGGGAGCAAACGGGAUUAGAUACCCCGGUAGUCCUAGCCGUAAACGGUGAGCACUAGGUGUUGGAGGCAUCGACCCCUCCAGUGCCGCAGCUAACGCAUUAAGUGCUCCGCCUGGGGAGUACGGCCGCAAGGUUGAA